AUUGAACGCUGGCGGCAGGCUUAGCACAUGCAAGUCGAGCGGGGUGAUGGUGCUUGCACUAUCACUUAGCGGCGGACGGGUGAGUAAUGCUUAGGAAUCUGCCUAUUAGUGGGGGACAACAUCUCGAAAGGGAUGCUAAUACCGCAUACGUCCUACGGGAGAAAGCAGGGGAUCACCUGUGACCUUGCGCUAAUAGAUGAGCCUAAGUCGGAUUAGCUAGUUGGUGGGGUAAAGGCCUACCAAGGCGACGAUCUGUAGCGGGUCUGAGAGGAUGAUCCGCCACACUGGGACUGAGACACGGCCCAGACUCCUACGGGAGGCAGCAGUGGGGAAUAUUGGACAAUGGGGGGAACCCUGAUCCAGCCAUGCCGCGUGUGUGAAGAAGGCCUUAUGGUUGUAAAGCACUUUGAGCGAGGAGGAGGCUCUUUUGGUUAAUACCCAAGAUGAGUGGACGUUACUCGCAGAAUAAGCACCGGCUAACUCUGUGCCAGCAGCCGCAGUAA
rnacentral:rRNA from 1 species